GCCCACCUGUGCUGCCCCGCCCACCUGUGCUGCCCCGCCUCCAUCCAGGUGGACUCUUCCUGGUUGUGAGUCAGUGAUCUGUGCUGCAGCUGCGUUGACACGGUGAGUGGAGACUCUUCUUCCUCUUCAUCUCUUUGCAGAAACUGAAGUGAAGGAGGAAGGUGUGUGUGAGCUGAUGUGGAUCCAGUGAAUCCAGCAGCAUGGAUCAGUGGGAGGAACCACAGGAGGGAGCCCCUCCCUCU